rnacentral:rRNA from 1 species
AGAGCGAACGCUGGCGGCAGGCUUAACACAUGCAAGUCGAGCGGGUGUAGCAAUACGUCAGCGGCAGACGGGUGAGUAACGCGUGGGAACAUACCUUUUGGUUCGGAACAACACAGGGAAACUUGUGCUAAUACCGGAUAAGCCCUUACGGGGAAAGAUUUAUCGCCGAAAGAUUGGCCCGCGUCUGAUUAGCUAGUUGGUGAGGUAAUGGCUCACCAAGGCGACGAUCAGUAGCUGGUCUGAGAGGAUGAUCAGCCACAUUGGGACUGAGACACGGCCCAAACUCCUACGGGAGGCAGCAGUGGGGAAUAUUGGACAAUGGGCGCAAGCCUGAUCCGGCCAUGCCGCGUGAGUGAUGAAGGCCCUAGGGUUGUAAAGCUCUUUGUGCGGGAAGAUAAUGACGGUACCGCAAGAAUAAGCCCCGGCUAACUUCGUGCCAGCAGCCGC